rnacentral:rRNA from 1 species
GGGAAAGUUGCAAAGCACUUUGAAGAGAGAGUUAAAGAGGACGUGAAACCGGUAGGAUGGAAACGGAUAGAGCCAGCGAAGUCGCCCGUAUUCAGCCAAAGGCCGUGGGUUCCGACCGGCCGUGUUGCUAAUCACACGCGGCAGGUUUCUGGACUUGCGGUUGAGGUGCAUUUGCGGGCGUUUGCGCUGAGACUUGCGGGGCAGCUCCCUGACCCUUGUCCAGAGGCUUCCCUCUGGGUUGAACCUUGACGGGGCGACGGUUGUUUGUUCUGCUCGUAGAGAAUGGGGGCUUGGCCAACGGACCCAGGCAGGCCGUCUGUCUGCCAUGGUUGUUAAUCGCGUGCGAUUGCAGCCUGGUGGGCCGGUGGGAUGUUUGUGGUUCCCUUGCCCACUCUCGGUGUAGAAGCUGGUCAUCUAUCCGACCCGUCUUGAAACACGGACCAAGGAGUUUAACGUAUACGCGAGCCAAUGGGUGUCAAACCUAAAGGCGCAAUGAAAGUGAAGGCCUAGUCGCUGGGCUUACAUGCGAGUGCCAGGGCUUCGUCGCCCAGACACGCAGCAUGGUCCCGUUCCGGUCGCUUGCGACGGAGCGGAGACAGAGCGUAUGCGCUGAGACCCGAAAGAUGGUGAACUAUUCCUGAGCAGGACGAAGCCAGAGGAAACUCUGGUGGAAGUCCGAAGCGAUUCUGACGUGCAAAUCGAUCGUCUGACUU